CAACAACAACAACAACAACAACAACGACAACAACGCCACAUAUGGAACCAUCAUCUUUAUCUGACGGUGCCAUUGUUGGAAUCGUUUUGGGUUCACUGUUCGGAACUUUACUGAUAAUUAUAUUGAUAGUGGUUGUUGUAAGACAUUUUGGUUUCAGUUGCAGCGCAAAGUCAGGGUAUGACAUGAGAGGAAAAGACUACGGUGAAUUACCUGGGUUGGACGAGAUAUAUCACCAAACUCAAGAUACAGAUAUGUAAUUUAGAUGGACUUCGACGAUGUGUGCUGCUUAGACCAUGAACUGCCAUCGUUUCGGGAAAUAGUUCUCUGUUGCUUAUGUUGUUUAUGCAAUUCCUAAAAAUCGAAUGAAAGUGUCAUUAGACAUACUUUGAUUACAUUUAUAUAGGAUAUCAUUUUUAGGCUUUUGUUGAAUGCUUCCUUGAGAUAUUUUUGUAUUUUAUUAUCUAUUUUUAUGUUGAUAUACUUUUUUUAUGGUGACCGUUCGUCGUCGUGGUGUCGUCAGUUUUUUAAUUUUUCUAGUUUUCUGUAUAAGAUGAUUCGUCGGAAGCGCAAGCUUUUGUAAAAAAAAUUUAUAAGUUGAUAAAGCUUAAAAUCGUGUAUAAGUUAUAACCAAUGCGAUUCCUUGUGGUAAUAGGCAAAUAGUACAAAUAUCUUGAUUUAUAUGAAAAUCUUUAUCUACUCGAAAAAUGGAUGUUCAACUAAUAUUUACUAAUGUUUCGGCAUUCUCAUACACUAUAUGGCAUUUUUAAAUGUGUAAAUACACACUUAAACUUAAACAUAGCGUGUACGUUCCAAGUUUUGUUUAUUAUUGGAAUCAAGUUGAACAGUUUCUUAAAUAUAUAAAUUUGCACAGCAGGUGUCAAAAUGUUCAUAUGGUGAAGUAAUAUUCUUUUUAGUACAUGUUUGUAAUU